rfam:Sagittula stellata E-37 1101159001467, whole genome shotgun sequence.
CUUGAAUUGCGCGGCACAUAGUUGACGAAGGCAUAGCCGCGCGACUGGUCGAUGGUGUGGAACAGCGGGUUCCAGUCGAACAUCACCAGCAUGUAGCCCGGCAGCGUGUUGGCCACGAACAUCUUGCCCGACGCAAUCAUGUUCGCCCGCUG